UGGGUCAGUGAUGACCACUGGUAGCCUGUGAGUCACACAUCCUGAUUACAGUUCUGGAAGGCUGAGGUCCAC